AUUUUAAUAAUUUCGAUGUUUUAUAAAAUGCCAGAGUUUAGAGAAAAAUAAGAAUUUUGAUGUGGUUAUAUAUUGGAAGGUUAAUUAUGCAAGGAUAUAUGGAUUUGGGAGUUAGUGUGGUGAAAUGGUAAGUGGAAGGGUGCUUAUGUAAUAAGAUGUAUGCAUAUAUAUGUGUAUCAGGGAAAUAUUUUCCUCACCUAACUCUCUCAAACCCUCACGCCUCUCUUCUCUCACCCGACACGCACUUCUCUCUUCGGCUCUCUCUUUCUCUCACUCUCUCUCACACCUACACCUCCAAUCUGCCAUGGACCCGUGAAAACCCAAGCGUAUCUAACCUUGUUCAAGUGUCUUUGGCUCUUGAAUCGCGUGGGUGGAGCUCGAUGGAGGAGUUCUUGUUGGAUUUCAAAACUCGGAGCUAGGGCUUUGUUUGAUCUCGGGGUUUUGCUCAAAACCCUUGAGGUGCAACUCACGGAGCAUAACUGGAGCGUUUGAAGUGAAUCAUUGAUCAUCAUUUGAAUGAUUAUGCUAAGGAGUCGGUAGUUCAUUCAUGUAAAUUUUAUUUUGGGAUUUGAAAUUGUAAUAUUAAUCUAUUUCCUUUUAAAGUGAGAGUAUGCAACCCUUAAUCUCUUGUGGACUUUUAUGUAUAACUUAACGUAUUGGCGGUUGAUGAACGGACCUAGCAUGUGAUUGUGAGGUAUUUAUGGGCAAGAAAAUGACA